rnacentral:rRNA from 1 species
UACGAGGGGGGCAAAUGUUGUUCGGAAUCACUGGGCGUAAAGGGAGCGUAGGCGGGUUUCUAAGUCAGGUGUUUAAUCCCGGGGCCCAACCCCGGACAGGCACUUGAAACUGGGAAUCUUGAAUAGUGGAGAGGUCAGUGGAAUUGGGGGUGUAGCGGUGGAAUGCGUAGAGAUCCCCAAGAACACCAGUUACGAAGGCGGCUGACUGGACACAUAUUGACGCUGAGGCUCGAAAGCAUGGGGAGCAAACAGG